GGGAGGGGGGGCUAGCGUUGUUCGGAAUUACUGGGCGUAAAGGGCGCGUAGGCGGGACUGACAAGUCAGAGGGUGAAAGCCCUGGGCUCAACCCGGGAACUGCCUUUGAAACUGACAGUCUAGAGUCCGGAAGAGGAUGGCGGAAUUCCCAGUGUAGAGGUGAAAUUCGUAGAUAUUGGGAAGAACACCAGUGGCGAAGGCGGCCAUCUGGUCCGGAACUGACGCUGAGGCGCGAAAGCGUGGGGAGCAAACAGGAUUAGAUACCCUGGUAGUCCACGCCGUAAACGAUGUGUGCUAGCCGUUGGGAAACCUAGUUUUUCAGUGGCGCAGCUAACGCAUUAAGCACACCGCCUGGGGAGUACGGUCGCAAGAUUA
rnacentral:rRNA from 1 species